rnacentral:tRNA from 1 species
GCAGGUGUAGCUCAGAUGGCAAGAGCCUUGGGACGCUGGUUCGAAUCCAGCCGCCUGCGCAA